rnacentral:rRNA from 1 species
GGGGAGUACGGCCGCAAGGUUAAAACUCAAAUGAAUUGACGGGGGCCCGCACAAGCGGUGGAGCAUGUGGUUUAAUUCGAUGCAACGCGAAGAACCUUACCUGGUCUUGACAUCCACGGAAGUUUUCAGAGAUGAGAAUGUGCCUUCGGGAACCGUGAGACAGGUGCUGCAUGGCUGUCGUCAGCUCGUGUUGUGAAAUGUUGGGUUAAGUCCCGCAACGAGCGCAACCCUUAUCCUUUGUUGCCAGCGGUCCGGCCGGGAACUCAAAGGAGACUGCCAGUGAUAAACUGGAGGAAGGUGGGGAUGACGUCAAGUCAUCAUGGCCCUUACGACCAGGGCUACACACGUGCUACAAUGGCGCAUACAAAGAGAAGCGACCUCGCGAGAGCAACCGGACCUCAUAAAGUGCGUCGUAGUCCGGAUUGGAGUCUGCAACUCGACUCCAUGAAGUCGGAAUCGCUAGUAAUCGUGGAUCAGAAUGCCACGGUGAAUACGUUCCCGGGCCUUGUACACACCGCCCGUCACACCAUGGGAGUGGGUUGCAAAAGAAGUAGGUAGCUUAACCUUCGGGAGGGCGCUUACCA